rnacentral:tRNA from 1 species
GGGCGAGUGGUGAAAUUGGUAUACACGCUACCUUGAGGUGGUAGUGGCCGUAAGGUCGUGGAGGUUCAAGUCCUCUCUCGCCCACCA